GGCUCUUCCAAAGUUAAUCGGUUCGAUUCCCAGAACAAUUGUGGUUAAACAUUGAAACCACAAGUAAUAUGAAUUUUCCAUAAAGAAAAAGAGAUCUUUACUGAUAAAGCUCAAGUGACCAAUAAAUACAUGAAUAAUGAUCAGUAUUUUUAACCAUUAAGGAAAUGCAAAUGAAAAGACUGGAAAUUUAUCUUAUGCCCAUCAGAAAGGCUACCUCUAAGGAAAUAAACUAGACUCCUUGUGGAGAUGGCUCAGGUAGUAUAGUGUUUUUCUUUCAAGCAUGAGAACCUGAGUUUGACCAACUAAACUCAAGUACAAAGAAGCCAGGCAAGGUGGCACAAGCUUGUAAUGCCACUGUGGUAGAGGCUGAGACAGGUAGGAUCUCUGGGACUCACUGUUCAGAUAGCAUAAUCUACUAUUCCAGGUCAGUGAGAAACUCUAUCACACAAUAAACAAAACAAAACAAAACAAAAACAAAUAAGCAAACAGGAACAACCAUCACAAAACAAAAAACAAGUGAAUAGAAACUUAGGAAAGACUUCUAGCCUCCAUUUGCACACACAUGGAAAGCAACAACAGAAAACACUGAAGAGGAUGGGAGGAAAGAAGGACCACUAUACAUAGCUAGUGACAAUAUGAAUUAGUUCAGCCAUACUAAUCAGUCUGUAUACAGGUUUCUCAAAAAAAAAAAACAAAAAC
rnacentral:lncRNA from 1 species